rnacentral:rRNA from 1 species
UACGUAGGGUGCAAGCGUUGUCCGGAAUUAUUGGGCGUAAAGAGCUCGUAGGCGGUGUGUCGCGUCUGCUGUGAAAACUCAGGGCUCAACUCUGAGCUUGCAGUGGGUACGGGCACACUAGAGUGCUGUAGGGGAGACUGGAAUUCCUGGGUGUAGCGGUGAAAUGCGCAGAUAUCAGGAGGAACACCGGGUGGCGAAAGCGGCUCACUGGACCGCAACUGACGCUGAGGCGCGAAGCUAGGGAG